AAAAUUCUCAACCAUGCUGGUUCUUCUGGCAUGGCUUGGAUUUGGGGGUCUGCAGGCUUAAAGUCGGCUCCCCUGAAAAGGAUUAGCGGUAUCUGAGCAGACACGGCGUGAUAAUUAUCUAUGUUGUUGGCAUGCGCAAGAAUUCUGCUUCUAAACCCGAGUGUUGACAA
rnacentral:misc_RNA from 1 species